UCUGUAGGCGGAAUGGUAAGUUGGGCGUGAAGGCUCCGGGCUCAACCCGGAGAGGUCGUUCAAUACUGCCAAACUAGAGGGCAUCAGAGGAGCGUGGAAUUUCCGGUGUAGCGGUAAAAUGCGCAGAUAUCGGAAGGAACACCAAUGGCGAAGGCAGCGCUCUGGGAUGAAUCUGACGCUAAGAGACGAAAGCUAGGGGAGCGAACAGGAUUAGAUACCCUGGUAGUCC
rnacentral:rRNA from 1 species